AUGCUGUAAGUGACACCAUUCUUGAUAUGUUUUGUUACUGAAUGCAUAAUAAAUUUAUAUGCUGUAAGAAAAUAGUUCCUUAAAGAAAGCUAUUGUUAUAUAAUGUUAUCUGGAAAUUUAUUUGUUUGAUUUUAUUUCUUAUGUUCUUUAUUAUUUCAUGUAUUGCAGUGCAAAUGUUUGGCUCACUGGUGGCUGUUUUUGAUGUUGGAGAUAUUUGUCUUUGCCCAUAAGAUAUUUAUAUUUACAUUUUCUCUCUGCAUUCCAUUGAAUAUUUUGAUUUUCAUUUUAUACAAACCACAAAAUGAUAAGCGCCAAAGUUAUAAUAACAUCUGAGCAAUGUGGUUGUUUUGAUGACACCAACUUGUAGUCGUGAAGAUGUUACUAGAUGAUUUGCAGUGUUCAGUCUGGUGAACUUAAUGACAGACAAGUUUAUUCUAAUGUUAAUACCCCAGUCACUCAUACGGCGCAGAUAGCUACGUCUAGCCACGGAUAGAAACGUAGUUUUCCGUACCUGUGCUGUACCUUAAAGUAGUAAUCCCUGUCAAUCCGUAUGGCUCAGGUACGGAUCGAUACAGAUCACUACGUUUCUAUCCGUGGCUAGACGUAGCUAUUCACGCCGUAUGUUUGACUAGGGUAUAAAUGUGAUAGAAAUAUGCAAUUUAUAUUAAAAAAAAAUGUUGCUAACAAAUGAAAAAAAAAAAAUUUUUUUUUUCAAAGUUCAUGCAAAAUAUGAGCAAAUUAACCUUGGAUCAGUAGUGUAGUUCAUGCAUUUGGCGAUCAUAUUCUGAAAACUAAUUUAUUUCUUCAGUAUGUUGAGUUAUUUGUUCAUUCUUUAUUGUAAAUCAGGCUGAGUAAUAUGAAAUGUUUGCUAUAAACUCGUCUGAAGAUAUGUAAGCCUACUAUAUAGCAUGGCAAUAUAUCAGAUAGUGUGGAUCAAUACCUGGAAUAGUUUACUGCAUUUCUAUAUCUUGUGGAUCAAUUUCUGGCUUUCCUGCCUGCGCUAUCUCUAAUCUCUUAAUCAAAUUUACUUCAAACUCAUUAGUAAAACCUGCAAAGUCAACAUGCAAUGCAUAUGAAAUAGAUUUAUCUUUACAUGUAUAUAACUAUAAUAAGAACUUUUAAUUUGGAGUCUUAAAAUUUAUAUAAGUUUUUCACGCAAACAUGAACUACUUAGCCAGUGAAAGACUACUCUCUCCAGCAUUAAUGCCUCAAGCAUCAAGGCUAAGUUUGAGCAAUUUCUGAAAUUUUUGGCAGUUUUCAUUACAUUUUCUAUGUCUUGAGUGUCUGAAAGCUAUGGAGAACUACAGUUUUUUGUUCAACAUCCAGUGAUCAGUGUUAUACUGUACUUUGUAAGCAUAUAAUGACUUCAAGCCCACCACAAUAUAAAUUGCUCAAGGUGAGCUAUUGGGAUUUUUCUGUCUGGCCUUGUUAAUAUCUUAAGGGACUCUAUGUUAACUUUAAAACUAGGUCAACUCAGGGCAAAAACAAGGCCACUAGGUCAGGUCGGCGAAAAAUUUUCUUCACAUUUUAUACCUGAUCUUCAUGAAAUUUUGUCAGAAUGUUUGUCUUUCCAAAUUCUAGUAAGUUAGAAACUCAGUCAACAAGAUAGUAAGUAACAAGGUCACAAGGUCAAAUUAUUGUAAACAUAGAAUUUGUUUUUUAAUUAGAUCAAAGUGGAAUUGGAUAUUAGAUUAUGUGUGGUGUGAACUAGGUCAGGUGACUGACAUAUAGCAUUCAUGGCCGUCUUGUUCUUACAAAUAAGGGGACAAAAUUUUUGGUUGCUCUGCACAUAUAGGUUACACUUAAAAAGAUUCUAUAUUAAUAUCAAAUACUGCAAUGACUUCCCUUGUAUAGAUGUAAUAAGUUUCCGUGUACAUAUAAUAGUGAAAUUCUUUACACAUAUUGUUAUGCACAUAUGUAAUUCUACACACAAUAAAAUUGCAGAUUCCAUACAUGUAUAAUUAGCUAGAAAAUCACCUUUAAGGUGCUUCCAAAUUUAUAAUACAUAGAUACAAUAUGACUAGUGUGUUUCCAUAGUAAUUAUAAUACACAAAAUGAGUUUGGGCUUCUUUGUUAACUUACUGUCAUGUACAAGGGAUUAUGGUUGGCCAGAGAGAAAAUAAUAGUAAGCAUGUUUUAGAGGUAAACGGGUAAAAACAAAAAAAAUAGGGAUUAAUAUUAUACAAUUAUUGCCUUUUGGCGAGGUCGAUAAAUCCACAUAUCGACUGAACUUAAAAGGCAACAAUUGUUUUAUUAUUAAAUCCAGCCUACUCAUAAGUAUAAACUUUAAAUACAAUUAUUUGCAGUCUUUGGUCAUUUUUUCAUGGUAAAUCGUGUACGACGUCGCAUUGUUUUGACGUCAAACCUUGAUGACAUCACAGCUGGAGGUCAAUAUGUGUUUUUGGCUCCGCCUUCGAGUCAAUAUGACUUUUUAUCAUUGAUCAUGUGACUACUUCUAGACCAAUGGAAAGGACUAUAAAUAUAGAUUUAAUAAUAAAAUAAAAUAAUGACCGGCCAGAUAAAGGUCUGCUGCACUUUGCAACCCACAUUCCUUUUCUCACACAACAGACUGGCAUUUCCAGCAGUAUCACCCGUGUUGGCAAACUCAUCUGGCACUCACCAUGCCAGAUGACUCUUGUGCUGUUUAUUACAAUUAAGGAUUUGUGCAUUGAUUAUGAGGUUUAUGUAAUUUAGUAGUUAAAAUCAAAUACUUCCAUAGUUGCUGCUUGUUCCUUAUAGUGUAUUUCUGGAUUCUAAUUAGGUUUUUUUAUGGAAGAAACAUAAAAUUACACUUCAAAUGAUAAAACUAAACUGGAAUUAAUUUUGUUGUCCGUCUGUGAAACGUCACAAUGUCACUUCUGUUUACUGACGUCAACUUCCCGCACUUUAUUUAAAUACGAUACUAUCAGAAAGAGCGCUACAAAGAAAGUAUUUCAUUUUGCGAAACUUAUUCUGUAAUUUGUAAAAUGUCAUAAUGCAAGAAAAAUAAUCUACCACUGGUUGCAGAUGGGAAUAUCCUGCUCUCGGGUAACUGCUUUGGCAGAAACUAGGCAGAGCCUCAUUACCGCAAAAACAGUUACAAUUGAACCCAAUAUUCCCAUCUGCAUCUAUAUCCAGCGACAAAUUAUGUUCUUAAAGAUUAUUGUUCAGCGAAAUAUAGGUCAUGGAAUAUUGUAAACUGAUAUAAUUUCUCAGAAAUCUAGACGGAAGUUUCCAUUUACCUUGGUAAAUAUAGUCUCGGGUAUUUGAGGUCUUGCUAGUAUUUAAUGCCUGGUGCAGGUUUAAGUAGGGUAUAAAAUGAUCAAGAUUCUGAAAACCUGAAUAGUUAUUAUACUUUAUUCAAGGCCACCUCUGUAAAAUUCUAAGAUUUUUCUUCGUUUUAUUGUUGUGCCACAUUUAUUUAGCAGACUUUUCAUAUAUAUCCACAUUCAAAUAUAUUUCACAAAUAUAAAUUAUUACAAUUUUCAAAAAAAGAAAUUUUAUCAAUUAAGUUAAAUGUCAAAAUACAAAUAUAAAUCCAAACAAAAGAAAGAAAUAAAACAUUAAAAGACUUGUAAAAUAAUAUACCAUUUUACACGUUUGUGUGAAAAAGUUUCUGUCCGCUUCAAAAAUUUGUUCCAAGUCUUGCAUCAUUUUACAGGAGUUUAUAGUAAACCAAGGUAAAUGUUAGGUUCUGCUGUGUAGUUUAUGGUUUUAACUUGAAGACAGAUCAAUAGAAAAUUGCUGGGUUUGUUCAUCAGUUGUUAGCAAGUUAUUCAAUUAUCUAAGAAAGUUAUUUGAUUAUCUAAGAAAUUGCCUGCUUAAAGAAUCUCUUUAAACAGGGCACACCAAGACGGAACAUUUACAUAUCGCACGACAGUGGUGGGGAGACUGCUCAUUUUGUAGUAAAUGUUUUCUAUCUCUUUUCAUAUUUUCAGUGUUACAUUUCAGUUGCCCAACAGCUGUUUUAUAACCAGUCUUUGUUUAUUCUGUUAAAAGGUUUGCUCAUAUACAUUUUGUACUGACCCAAGUCUGCUGGAAUCUGCUACCAGGUUAGCAAUUUAACCAUCAGACUUGUAUCCUCUGGAUGUCUUGGCCACCAGUUGAGCAAUUUAAUCAAUCAGGACUUGAUAUCCCGGAUGUCUCCGCCACCAAGUGAGCAAUUUAACCAAAUACUGGAUGUCUUAGCCACAAGGUGAGCGGUUUAACCAAUCGGUACUUCACGACUGUGGGUGUCUUGAUAUCGUGGGUGUCUUGAUAUUUCGUGAUAAUUAGAAAGAUAGCAUUAUUACAUUGUCUAGAAUGUUAGACAGAUUAAAAGGUAUAAAACAGGAAAAAUCAAUUUCUGUUUACCAGUGCAUUACACAGCUGCAAUACCAGUACAGUGGACAAGACUGUGCUGUCUUCAUCGGCGCUGUUUAUUCUGAGUAACUUUCUUUAAAAUUAGUUUUUUUAUAUUGUAUGAAUAAGUAACCAUAAUUCUUCCUUAUAUAAUUCAUAUCCUCGUAUAUAUACCUGCUAUAUCUAGGCAGUUGUUUCUUUUUUUACUUGUUUGUAAGUCCUUGCUUCCUCCAGACAAUAUUUUAUCAGUAGGUACAUUUGUAUCAUCAGACAGGGAUUUUAGUAAAACAGACUGUUCUGCUAUAUUCAUUCUAGCAAAAUAUAUGCUGCGAUGGUAAUAGUAUGAUUUUUUUGUAAUACUAAAUUGCAGUAUUAGUAAUGUUUUGCCACAUUAGGAAUUUAAUUUUAGCAUGUAAUAAUGACCAUUUUAAUGUCUCGCAGUUGAAUGCAUGUUAAAUUACAUUAUGUGCAGACUUUCUAUUACCCCAGCUUUAUUUGUUUUCUACCCGAUUAGACUGUUUGAUUCCUACAUAAAUAAGAUCAUUUUCAAAGUAAUUGGGAUGAAAAUUGUUCUCAAAGGGAAACAAGUGGUGUUUGCAGGUUGGACCACCAUGUAUGUGACCCUGGUUCCGACUUGGCAAGUAAUUGGUACUGUUGCCUGGCCUGGAUGCUUGAGAGGUAAAUAUAAAAUCUGAUGUGGGCUCAGCUGAAGAGACCUUAUCUUCCGUACCAACAUAACCUAGCUUAAUUGUGUGCACUGGAAGUUUCAGAUCUUGGGUUUUGUUUUUCUGUAUUCAUUUGUUAACUGGGAAACAGUAAUUCAAUUUCCUGUGUAAUUGUCUUAAAUAGAUAGAUAGGCUGAUCACUUGUAUUGUCUGAGGAGUAUCUGGAUUAGGUUAAGUAAUUAAAACUUUCUACAGCAUUUCCUUGCAGGCUGUCACAGACUCUAUAAUAUAGUUAGCAAAAUCUGUAGUUCUAAAUCAAUAAACAUUUUCUGUUCAACUUUGGUUUUAACACAAAUUUCAUUUUAUUUCUGGGAGUUUUACGACACCACUUUGAUGAAUUUCUAAAUCAAAAUUGUAUUCUACUAGCAUCUUUUACUAUACCAAACUGGUUUAAUUAUAUAGCCAAGGAAGUUAUGUUUGACAAGAGCAGUCAAUCACAUGUAUAUGUGUAUAAAAUACAGUGUGAUCUCCACCGGAUUAUGUCUCAAUAUAUAAUUAUGCUGUUAUAAAAGUUGUAGAUGUUUUUUCAACAAAUGAGUAUAGUUAAAAAGGUCUGUACAUUUAAUUUCAACCUUUUUCUGAAAAAAUUGAAACAAAAAUGAAAUUCAGUCCAGUUUACAGGGUAGAUCAAAUUGUUGUACUGUUGUGUAUGAACCCACAUAUUAUUUAUAAUUGUAUUUUGGCAUAGUUUAUACAGUUUUGUAUCUUUGCAUAAUUCUUAACACUGAUGCACAUGGCAGCAGUAAAGUUUUACUUUACAUCAUCACUUGCCUACCUAUAUACAUCCCCAGUGCAUAGUUUGUGCUGUUGACCUGUCUAUAGUUUGACACAGGUUUGCUGGGCAAAAGAGAAAAACUUGGAGAUUUAUUUUUGAUGUUGUUUUGUAAAACUCUUAUUGAAUGGCCAACCAGCCAAUAGUAAAAACUGUUAGCCCGCAAUCCUUUGGACCUUGGGUAAAUAAGUUCGACUGUUGACCUGCAAACCAUUUAAAAAGUGUUGUUUAUAUAUUUUGUUUCUGAAACUAUACUAGGGUCACCAAUAAAUUUGUCAACAAUUGUCAGAGAAAGUUUAGCCUUUUAUUUACUGCUGCUUUGCCAGUUUUUAUGAAAAAAAUGUCAAAUAUGCAGAAUUGAUAUGAAAAUACCCUGCAGCAGUAAAAACUCUGUUUAUAGGUCAUAUUUAUUAAUGUUACUCCGACUUUUAUUUUUCAAUGUACUAAUAAACUUUGAUAAUGUGGCAGUUGACCUCAAUACAAUCGACACUGUUUAUUUUCCAAUACAGGUAAAUCCAAUAUUUGCUUUACAAUAGAUCUAUGACGGAUUAUCUUUGAACACCCCUGGACUAAUUGGACUCAACUGCCACAUUAUCAAAGUUCAUUAGUAUAUCAUAAAUUGAUAUAUUGUGAAUAGGACCCCUUAAUGUAUUCAUUUGCAUGAAAGUUUCUUUAAAUGUCCAUAGGUGGUCACCAAUGAUUUGUUAAUGUUUUAAGAAUGGUGAAAUUUUGUAUGCAACCCUUUUCAACUCUUGUUUCUUUUUUACCCCAAGUAAUGUUGAAAGUGACCAGCAUAAUAUGCAACUGUUGUUGGUUGAACUCCCGAUAGAUUAAAACAUUUAUAGAAACAAUCCCGUUAAGAGUUUAGGGAUGUAUGGACUUGUCCUGUGGACAUGUUUCUAGUUUAUAUGUAAAUGAUAUAAAUUUUUGUAUUACCUACAUGCUUGUGUUGUUUAUGUUGAUAUUGUUAUUUUAUGAAUAACUGGUGUACAGACUGUAGUAACAAUGAUAAUGUCAAAACAUGUCCCAAUCAGCAUCUAAUAAACUAUUAAUCCAGG